rnacentral:tRNA from 1 species
GAUUUGUAGCUUAGUGUAGAGAGCAUGUCCAGCAUGCAUGGGGCCCUGAGUUCAAUCCCCAGCACAUACA